rnacentral:tRNA from 5 species
GCCCAGGUGGCGAAACUGGUAGACGCGCUAGCUUGAGGGGCUAGUGGGAGCAAUCCCGUGGAGGUUCGAGUCCUCUCUUGGGCACCA